rnacentral:rRNA from 1 species
AGCUGGAUUCGCUAGUAAUCGCGCAUCAGCCAUGGCGCGGUGAAUACGUUCCCGGGCCUUGUACACACCGCCCGUCAAGCCAUGGGAGCCGGGGGUGCUUGAAGUGCGUCGCCGCAAGGCGCGCCCUAGAGCAAAAACCGGUGACUGGGGCUAAGUCGUAACAAGGUACC